rnacentral:ncRNA from 2 species
CGCGGGGCUUCUGGAGAGCGGUGGGCCCGCGCUCGGGUCCACCCACCGAAGGGGAGCGGCGCCAACCGCGCCUUAUCUCUCAGGUCACAGGACAGAAGGGCGGCA